UGGGGAAUUUUGGACAAUGGGGGAAACCCUGAUCCAGCCAUCCCGCGUGUGCGAUGAAGGCCUUCGGGUUGUAAAGCACUUUUGGCAGGAAAGAAACGUCAUGGGUUAAUACCCCGUGAAACUGACGGUACCUGCAGAAUAAGCACCGGCUAACUACGUGCCAGCAGCCGCGGUAAUACGUAGGGUGCAAGCGUUAAUCGGAAUUACUGGGCGUAAAGCGUGCGCAGGCGGUUCGGAAAGAAAGAUGUUAAAUCCCAGAGCUCAACUUUGGAACUGCAUUUUUAACUACCGGGCUAGAGUGUGUCAGAGGGAGGUGGAAUUCCGCGUGUAGCAGUGAAAUGCGUAGAUAUGAGGAGGAACACCGAUGGCGAAGGCAGCCUCCUGGGAUAACACUGACGCUCAUGCACGAAAGCGUGGGGAGCAAACAGG
rnacentral:rRNA from 1 species